rnacentral:rRNA from 1 species
CCUACGGGAGGCUGCAGUGGGGGAUAUUGCACAAUGGGGGAAACCCUGAUGCAGCGACGCCGCGUGUGGGAAGACGGUCUUCCGGAUUGUAAACCACUGUCCCCAGGGACGAAAAUGACGGUACCUGGGGAGGAAGCUCCGGCUAACUACGUGCCAGCAGCCGCGGUAAUACGUAGGGAGCAAGCGUUGUCCGGAAUUACUGGGUGUAAAGGGAGCGUAGGCGGGGAUGCAAGUUGGGUGUCAAAACUACCGGCUCAACCGAUAGUCGCACUCAAAACUGCAGCUCUUGAGUGAAGUAGAGGCAGGCGGAGUUCCUAGUGUAGCGGUGAAAUGCGUAGAUAUUAGGAGGAACACCAGUGGCGAAGGCGGCCUGCUGGGCUUUUACUGACGCUGAGGCUCGAAAGUGUGGGGAGCAAACAGGAUUAGAUACCCGAGUAGUC